UAAUACAUGCAAGUCGAACGAACUCUGGUAUUGAUUGGUGCUUGCAUCAUGAUUUACAUUUGAGUGAGUGGCGAACUGGUGAGUAACACGUGGGAAACCUGCCCAGAAGCGGGGGAUAACACCUGGAAACAGAUGCUAAUACCGCAUAACAACUUGGACCGCAUGGUCCGAGUUUGAAAGAUGGCUUCGGCUAUCACUUUUGGAUGGUCCCGCGGCGUAUUAGCUAGAUGGUGAGGUAACGGCUCACCAUGGCAAUGAUACGUAGCCGACCUGAGAGGGUAAUCGGCCACAUUGGGACUGAGACACGGCCCAAACUCCUACGGGAGGCAGCAGUAGGGAAUCUUCCACAAUGGACGAAAGUCUGAUGGAGCAACGCCGCGUGAGUGAAGAAGGGUUUCGGCUCGUAAAACUCUGUUGUUAAAGAAGAACAUAUCUGAGAGUAACUGUUCAGGUAUUGACGGUAUUUAACCAGAAAGCCACGGCUAACUACGUGCCAGCAGCCGCGGUAAUACGUAGGUGGCAAGCGUUGUCCGGAUUUAUUGGGCGUAAAGCGAGCGCAGGCGGUUUUUUAAGUCUGAUGUGAAAGCCUUCGGCUCAACCGAAGAAGUGCAUCGGAAACUGGGAAACUUGAGUGCAGAAGAGGACAGUGGAACUCCAUGUGUAGCGGUGAAAUGCGUAGAUAUAUGGAAGAACACCAGUGGCGAAGGCGGCUGUCUGGUCUGUAACUGACGCUGAGGCUCGAAAGUAUGGGUAGCAAACAGGAUUAGAUACCCUGGUAGUCCAUACCGUAAACGAUGAAUGCUAAGUGUUGGAGGGUUUCCGCCCUUCAGUGCUGCAGCUAACGCAUUAAGCAUUCCGCCUGGGGAGUACGGCCGCAAGGCUGAAACUCAAAGGAAUUGACGGGGGCCCGCACAAGCGGUGGAGCAUGUGGUUUAAUUCGAAGCUACGCGAAGAACCUUACCAGGUCUUGACAUACUAUGCAAAUCUAAGAGAUUAGACGUUCCCUUCGGGGACAUGGAUACAGGUGGUGCAUGGUUGUCGUCAGCUCGUGUCGUGAGAUGUUGGGUUAAGUCCCGCAACGAGCGCAACCCUUAUUAUCAGUUGCCAGCAUUAAGUUGGGCACUCUGGUGAGACUGCCGGUGACAAACCGGAGGAAGGUGGGGAUGACGUCAAAUCAUCAUGCCCCUUAUGACCUGGGCUACACACGUGCUACAAUGGAUGGUACAACGAGUUGCGAACUCGCGAGAGUAAGCUAAUCUCUUAAAGCCAUUCUCAGUUCGGAUUGUAGGCUGCAACUCGCCUACAUGAAGUCGGAAUCGCUAGUAAUCGCGGAUCAGCAUGCCGCGGUGAAUACGUUCCCGGGCCUUGUACACACCGCCCGUCACACCAUGAGAGUUUGUAACACCCAAAGUCGGUGGGGUAACCUUUUAGGAACCAGCCGCCUAA
rnacentral:rRNA from 1 species